UACGUAGGCAGCGAGCGUUGUUCGGAAUUACUGGGCGUAAAGCGCGCGCAGGCGGUCCUUUAAGUCUGAUGUGAAAGCCCACGGCUCAACCGUGGAGGGUCAUUGGAAACUGGGGGACUUGAGUACAGAAGAGAAGAGUGGAAUUCCACGUGUAGCGGUGAAAUGCGUAGAGAUGUGGAGGAACACCAGUGGCGAAGGCGACUCUUUGGUCUGUAACUGACGCUGAGGCGCGAAAGCGUGGGGAGCAAACAGG
rnacentral:rRNA from 1 species